rnacentral:misc_RNA from 1 species
AACGCAACUUGCGCUCCUUGGUAUUCCGAGGAGCAUGCCUGUUUGAGUGUCAUUAAUAUCUCAAAAAAUCUAUGCUUAGCAAAUAGAUCUUUUGGACUUGGGGGUUUGCAGGCUUUUGCCAGCUCCUCUGAAAUGUAUGAGCAGGAAAUAAAAAACUUCAGAUGUGAUAACUAUCUUGCAUCUGGGGGGUGUCUCUGCUGAAACAAAGCUUGUUUGAUCUAUGUGACCUCAGAUCAGGUAGGACUACCCGCUGAACUUAA